GCAUCCAGUCAAUAGGCCGUCAGUGGGACAUCAUAGAGGGUGACAAUCCCGUCCUUGAUGCCAAUGUACAAGUCCGUUACGAUGGCUAUCUCAGAGAGUCGAGCAGUUUGGGAUUUGCUGCUUAAACAUGGGAGGUAGAUUCCUUCUAAAGCUAAAUACAGGCGAGAGACCGAUAGAGAACAAGUACCGCAAGGGAAAGAUGAAAUAGAACUCUGUGAAGGGAGUCAAAAGGCGUGAAAUUGUUGCGAGAGAAGCGAUUCAAGUCAGCGUAGCUAAGGCCCAUCAAGCAAUAUCCGCUUUGGACUAGCUUUGCCAGCGGUCUUGUCCUAAAGACUUGACUUUGUUAUGUCCAGCCUGGUCUACACAGGCAGGCCCCUCCCUGUGGGGGCCAGUGGCAUGGCUGGUGGAAUGGCUUGCAAUCAACCCGUCUUGAAACACGGACCAAGGAGUCUAACAUGUAUGCGAGUAUAAGGGUGGCAAACCCGUAUGCGCAAUGAAAGUGAUUUUCGUCGAUUGAGAAUGGCCUGAUGACCAAACAAGCAAUAUAUGUCCCUCGUACGGCCAUUGCCCAAGUUCCCGGGUACUACCCAUGAACAUGGGAGUUGGGAGCAUACAUGCUAGGACCCCAAAGAUGGUGAACUAUGCCUGGGACAAAGCGAAACCCAAGGAAACUCUGGUGGAGGCUUGUAGCGAUUCUGACGUGCAAAUCGAUCGUCUGAUCUGGGUAUAGGGGCGAAAGACUAAUCNACCU
rnacentral:rRNA from 1 species